rnacentral:misc_RNA from 1 species
CCGAGUUCAUGCCCCCCGGGGUAGAUCUCCCACCCUGUUUACCUUACCAGCGUUGCUUUGGCGGGUCGUCCCCCCGUGGCCACCGGCGAUCCGUUGGUGUGCACCCGCCGGAGGCCCUUGAACCCUGAUCAUCAUCGUGUCGUCCGAGUCCGAUCUUAAUCGUUA